rnacentral:sRNA from 1 species
UGUUUGCACUUAGCGGGAAGGGUAAGAACCUUCGACUAAGGUUCGACUCGAGCGCCAGCGAGAGAACG